UACGAAGGGGGCUAGCGUUGCUCGGAAUCACUGGGCGUAAAGCGCACGUAGGCGGAUUGUUAAGUCAGGGGUGAAAUCCUGGAGCUCAACUCCAGAACUGCCUUUGAUACUGGCGAUCUUGAGUCCGGGAGAGGUGAGUGGAACUGCGAGUGUAGAGGUGAAAUUCGUAAAUAUUCGCAAGAACACCAGUGGCGAAGGCGGCUCACUGGCCCGGUACUGACGCUGAGGUGCGAAAGCGUGGGGAGCAAACAGG
rnacentral:rRNA from 1 species